CUAGGAUCAGGUGAUGUAAUCUACACCAUGUCUAGGAUCAGGUGAUGUAAUCUACAACAUGUCUAGGAUCAGGUGAUGUAAUCUACACCAUGUCUAGGAUCAGGUGAUGUAAUCUACACCAUCAACAUGUCUAGGAUCAGGUGAUGAUGUAAUCUACACCAUCAACAUGUCUAGGAUCAGGUGAUGUAAUCUACACCAUGUCUAGGAUCAGGUGGUGUAAUCUACAACAUGUCUAGGAUCAGGUGGUGUAAUCUACACCAUGUCUAGGAUCAGGUGAUGUAAUCUACACCAUGUCUAGGAUCAGGUGAUGUAAUCUACAACAUGUCUAGGAUCAGGUGAUGUAAUCUACACCAUGUCUAGGAUCAGGUGAUGUAAUCUACACCAUGUCUAGGAUCAGGUGAUGUAAUCUACACCAUGUCUAGGAUCAGGUGAUGUAAUCUACACCAUCAACAUGUCUAGGAUCAGGUGAUGUAAUCUACACCAUGUCUAGGAUCAGGUGAUGUAAUCUACACCAUGUCUAGGAUCAGGUGAUGUAAUCUACAACAUGUCUAGGAUCAGGUGAUGUAAUCUACACCAUGUCUAGGAUCAGGUGAUGUAAUCUACACCAUCAACAUGUCUAGGAUCAGGUGAUGAUGUAAUCUACACCAUCAACAUGUCUAGGAUCAGGUGAUGUAAUCUACACCAUGUCUAGGAUCAGGUGGUGUAAUCUACAACAUGUCUAGGAUCAGGUGGUGUAAUCUACACCAUGUCUAGGAUCAGGUGAUGUAAUCUACAACAUGUCUAGGAUCAGGUGAUGUAAUCUACAACAUGUCUAGGAUCAGGUGAUGUAAUCUACACCAUCAACAUGUCUAGGAUCAGGUGAUGUAAUCUACACCAUGUCUAGGAUCAGGUGAUGUAAUCUACACCAUGUCUAGGAUCAGGUGAUGUAAUCUACACCAUCAACAUGUCUAGGAUCAGGUGAUGUAAUCUACACCAUCAACAUGUCUAGGAUCAGGUGGUGUAAUCUACACCAUGUCUAGGAUCAGGUGAUGUAAUCUACAACAUGUCUAGGAUCAGGUGAUGUAAUCUACAACAUGUCUAGGAUCAGGUGAUGUAAUCUACACCAUCAACACGUCUAGGAUCAGGUGAUGUAAUGAACGUCAGAUAAAUGAACUAUACACUUCUUAUUACUCUUCAUCAUCAUCAUCAUCAUCAUCAUCAUCAUCAUCAUAAUGGCACAGUACAAAGUCUGAGGAACAACACGGCCACAGAAAUAUACAAUAAAUGUCCUCAAUCACAAUGUCACAUUUUGUUUGAAGAUUUAAAAAUGUAACUAUGUCUUCUGGCAACAAAAAAAAAAAACACGAUAGUUUUACUCAGUGGUCAAAACACGAUCAAUAACUUCUCUCCUAAACCCUCU